GAGAGCCGGAUGCGGGAAAACUGCCAGUCCGGUUCGAUGAGAGGGAUGUGGAAACGGGGUUAAGAGUUUGCUAGUGAGGCACCGCCGAACGAAAGGGGCGGCAACAGUUAAGCGAAUAUCUAACGCUACCGCGCCACAUCUCUACUCUAC
rnacentral:ncRNA from 1 species